CACGUAGGGGCCAAACGUUGUCCGGAUUUAUUGGGCGUAAAGGGCUCGUAGGCGGUUCAACAAGUCGGUCGUGAAACUCCGGGGCUCAACCCCGGGACGCCGGUCGAAACUGUUGUGACUAGGGUCCGGUAGAGGUGAGUGGAAUUCUCGGUGUAGCGGUGGAAUGCGCAGAUAUCGAGAGGAACACCAGUUGCGAAGGCGGCUCACUGGGCCGGUACCGACGCUGAGGCACGAAAGCGUGGGGAGCAAACAGG
rnacentral:rRNA from 1 species